rnacentral:rRNA from 1 species
UCAUUAAAUCAGUUAUCGUUUAUUUGAUAGUACCUUACUACUUGGAUAACCGUGGUAAUUCUAGAGCUAAUACAUGCUAAAAACCUCGACUUCGGAAGGGGUGUAUUUAUUAGAUAAAAAACCAAUGCCCUUCGGGGCUCCCUGGUGAUUCAUAAUAACUUAACGAAUCGCAUGGCCUUGUGCCGGCGAUGGUUCAUUCAAAUUUCUGCCCUAUCAACUUUCGAUUGUUGGGUCUUGGCCAACAAUGGUUUCAACGGGUAACGGGGAAUUAGGGUUCUAUUCCGGAGAGGGAGCCUGAGAAACGGCUACCACAUCCAAGGAAGGCAGCAGGCGCGCAAAUUACCCAAUCCUGAUCCAGGGAGGUAGUGACAAUAAAUACUGAUACAGGGCUCUUUUGGGUCUUGUAAUUGGAAUGAGUACAAUUUAAAUCCCUUAACGAGGAACAAUUGGAGGGCAAGUCUGGUGCCAGCAGCCGCGGUAAUUCCAGCUCCAAUAGCGUAUAUUAAAGUUGUUGCAGUUAAAAAGCUCGUAGUUGAACCUUGGGCCUGGCUGGCCGGUCCGCCUCACCGCGUGCACUGGUCCGGCCGGGCCUUUCCUCCUGGGGAGCCGCAUGCCCUUCACUGGGUGUGUCGGGGAACCAGGACUUUUACUUUGAAAAAAUUAGAGUGUUCAAAGCAGGCCUAUGCUCGAAUACAUUAGCAUGGAAUAAUAGAAUAGGACGUGUGGUUCUAUUUUGUUGGUUUCUAGGACCGCCGUAAUGAUUAAUAGGGACAGUUGGGGGCAUCAGUAUUUAAUUGUCAGAGGUGAAAUUCUUGGAUUUAUUAAAGACUAACUACUGCGAAAGCAUUUGCCAAAGAUGUUUUCAUUAAUCAGUGAACGAAAGUUAGGGGAUCGAAGACGAUCAGAUACCGUCGUAGUCUUAACCAUAAACUAUGCCGACUAGGGAUCGGGCGAUGUUAUCUUUUUGACUCGCUCGGCACCUUACGAGAAAUCAAAGUCUUUGG